AGAGUUUGAUCCUGGCUCAGGAUGAACGCUGGCGGCGUGCUUAACACAUGCAAGUCGAACGAAGCACUUUAUUUGAUUUCCUUCGGGACUGAUUAUUUUGUGACUGAGUGGCGGACGGGUGAGUAACGCGUGGGUAACCUGCCUUGUACAGGGGGAUAACAGUUGGAAACGGCUGCUAAUACCGCAUAAGCGCACGGCAUCGCAUGAUGCAGUGUGAAAAACUCCGGUGGUAUAAGAUGGACCCGCGUUGGAUUAGCUAGUUGGUGAGGUAACGGCCCACCAAGGCAACGAUCCAUAGCCGACCUGAGAGGGUGACCGGCCACAUUGGGACUGAGACACGGCCCAAACUCCUACGGGAGGCAGCAGUGGGGAAUAUUGCACAAUGGGCGAAAGCCUGAUGCAGCGACGCCGCGUGAGCGAAGAAGUAUUUCGGUAUGUAAAGCUCUAUCAGCAGGGAAGAUAAUGACGGUACCUGACUAAGAAGCACCGGCUAAAUACGUGCCAGCAGCCGCGGUAAUACGUAUGGUGCAAGCGUUAUCCGGAUUUACUGGGUGUAAAGGGAGCGCAGGCGGUGCGGCAAGUCUGAUGUGAAAGCCCGGGGCUCAACCCCGGUACUGCAUUGGAAACUGUCGUACUAGAGUGUCGGAGGGGUAAGCGGAAUUCCUAGUGUAGCGGUGAAAUGCGUAGAUAUUAGGAGGAACACCAGUGGCGAAGGCGGCUUACUGGACGAUAACUGACGCUGAGGCUCGAAAGCGUGGGGAGCAAACAGGAUUAGAUACCCUGGUAGUCCACGCCGUAAACGAUG
rnacentral:rRNA from 1 species